AGCUUUCUCCAAGCCCAACUCCUGCUACUCAGAGUCCCAAGAAACCUCCAACAAAGGACCCAUUAGCGGAUCUUAACAUCAAGGAUUUCUUGUAAACGAUAAGCUGCAGUUUUUCUGACUGGAUGAUAAAAACGUGAGUCUGGAGUCUACAAACAGAUGCUCAGAGUUUCAAAGUGAGCCACCAGUACCAAACCCAGCGCUUACUCAGACUUUCUCUUUCUCCUGAAACGUGUAGCACAGCUGUGAAAGUGAACAUUAGGAAUGUGUACUACCUUAGCUGUUAUCCCUACUCUCUCGAAAUUUGUGUACUUGGGUUAGUUGUGUUUUACAAUUUAAACAAUGGAUGUAUGUUUCUGAUGCCUUCUAGUGCUUUUCUGAACCUAUCCCACAGGGGCAGACUACGCAGCUGUUGUUUGGUGAGCCAUUUGGAGCGAUGUCUGUGGUUUUUGAAGGUUUCAAUGUAUAUAACUUUUUGAGGACACCUAAAAUUUCCCUAAGACUCAAUUCCUCCUUUAUCUGUUAUGAAACAUAGUGUGAUAAUACCAGAUAGUAAGGAAAAUACUUAUGAAAUUGUGUGGAAUACAUUUCCCCCCCCGCCCCCAGUCACAAGAAUCUCAAUUGUUGUGGAAAAAUGUUUUAUUUUUGUGGCACUGUAUAUGUUAAGGUAACUUAAAGUAAUAUAAAGGUAAACUUCCAUAACAAAUACUUUUUUGAUGAUUUACCAAGAAUGAAAAAUCAUAUCUGAAAGAAUACCAUAUUUAUUGCUGUUUUUAUUUUAAAAUCUAUUUUAAUUAUUUAAGUUUUUGCAUUUAAAAUUGGCAUAUUUAUCAGUUCUUGCUAAAUGCACUGAAAAUAAGUAAAGAGUCAGUUUCUCUCAAUGUAGUUGGAAAAAGCAACCAUAGUUGUGCUGGCAUUAAGGGAUUUCAAAUAUGAGAGCACUCUUUGGUAUAUCCGUAGUCAAAACAUUACAAGUGAUGUUACUCAUCUCUGUUCAGUUCUUACGUACAUCUCUUAAUUUAGUGCUUACCUGUGUAUGCCUUAGGCUAGUGUUUUCUCCAUUGCCCCGAAUGCGCUGUGAGUAGCUUUUGUACUAUUGGUGAUUAGAUUUAAUUCUGAUCCAGAGAUCCAUGCCCUUUACUGUACAUACUGUGUUUCUUUGAUUUUUAUUUGUUCUCAUACUGUUUCUGCUGAUGGCUUGGUGUAAGAUCUUGACUCUUCAGUGAGGUCACUGUUGAUCAGUGUUACAAGUGGCUUGGCAGUUCUCUGUAAAAGCAUAUUGGGUUGGAAAGAUAUUCACCUAAAGUCUUUCAAAUGAACUAUUUAAUCAAUGUAUGGUACCAUUAAAAGUGGUUGUAUCUGAAUUUGCUGUGGGGGUGACAUACACCAUAAUGGGAAAGUUCUAUAAAAAGCUAAUUUCAAAAUGGCUCUUCUUUGUAUUUCAGUUUAAAAAAACAAAAAACAAAAAACCCCAGUGCAUGUGUGCCCUUUGAGAUGCAAUAAACACCUUGAUCAAAGUAAA